AUUGAACGCUGGCGGCAGGCCUAACACAUGCAAGUCGAGCGGAUGAAGGGAGCUUGCUCCUGGAUUCAGCGGCGGACGGGUGAGCAAUGCCUAGGAAUCUGCCUGGUAGUGGGGGAUAACGUCCGGAAACGGGCGCUAAUACCGCAUACGUCCUGAGGGAGAAAGUGGGGGAUCUUCGGACCUCACGCUAUCAGAUGAGCCUAGGUCGGAUUAGCUAGUUGGUGGGGUAAAGGCCUACCAAGGCGACGAUCCGUAACUGGUCUGAGAGGAUGAUCAGUCACACUGGAACUGAGACACGGUCCAGACUCCUACGGGAGGCAGCAGUGGGGAAUAUUGGACAAUGGGCGAAAGCCUGAUCCAGCCAUGCCGCGUGUGUGAAGAAGGUCUUCGGAUUGUAAAGCACUUUAAGUUGGGAGGAAGGGCAGUAAGUUAAUACCUUGCCGUUUUGACGUUACCAACAGAAUAAGCACCGGCUAACUUCGUG
rnacentral:rRNA from 1 species